rnacentral:rRNA from 1 species
UACGUAGGGUGCGAGCGUUAAUCGGAAUUACUGGGCGUAAAGCGUGCGCAGGCGGUUUCUUAAGUCAGAUGUGAAAGCCCCGGGCUUAACCUGGGAACUGCGUUUGAAACUGGGAGACUUGAGUGUGGCAGAGGGGGGUGGAAUUCCACGUGUAGCAGUGAAAUGCGUAGAGAUGUGGAGGAACACCGAUGGCGAAGGCAGCCCCCCUGGGUCAAGAUUGACGCUCGAUGCAUCGAAAGCGUGG